rnacentral:rRNA from 1 species
GACGAACGCUGGCGGCGUGCCUAAUACAUGCAAGUAGAACGCUGAAGGAGGAGCUUGCUUCUCUGGAUGAGUUGCGAACGGGUGAGUAACGCGUAGGUAACCUGCCUGGUAGCGGGGGAUAACUAUUGGAAACGAUAGCUAAUACCGCAUAAUAGUAGAUGUUGCAUGACAUUUGCUUAAAAGGUGCACUUGCAUCACUACCAGAUGGACCUGCGUUGUAUUAGCUAGUUGGUGGGGUAACGGCUCACCAAGGCGACGAUACAUAGCCGACCUGAGAGGGUGAUCGGCCACACUGGGACUGAGACACGGCCCAGACUCCUACGGGAGGCAGCAGUAGGGAAUCUUCGGCAAUGGACGGAAGUCUGACCGAGCAACGCCGCGUGAGUGAAGAAGGUUUUCGGAUCGUAAAGCUCUGUUGUAAGAGAAGAACGAGUGUGAGAGUGGAAAGUUCACACUGUGACGGUAGCUUACCAGAAAGGGACGGCUAACUACGUG